GAUGAACGCUGGCGGCGUGCCUAACACAUGCAAGUCGAGCGCCCCGCAAGGGGAGCGGCAGACGGGUGAGUAACGCGUGGGAAUCUACCCAUCUCUACGGAAUAACGCAUGGAAACGUGUGCUAAUACCGUAUACGUCCUUCGGGAGAAAGAUUUAUCGGAGAUGGAUGAGCCCGCGUUGGAUUAGCUAGUUGGUGGGGUAAAGGCCUACCAAGGCGACGAUCCAUAGCUGGUCUGAGAGGAUGAUCAGCCACACUGGGACUGAGACACGGCCCAGACUCCUACGGGAGGCAGCAGUGGGGAAUAUUGGACAAUGGGCGCAAGCCUGAUCCAGCCAUGCCGCAUGAGUGAUGAAGGCCCUAGGGUUGUAAAGCUCUUUCACCGGUGAAGAUAAUGACGGUAACCGGAGAAGAAGCCCCGGCUAACUUCGUGCCAGCAGCCGCCGUAAAAC
rnacentral:rRNA from 1 species